CACCACUGCUGAGUCGUCUCCAACGCACCAGUACUUUCCCUGGGAGUCUGGACAGACAACAGGACUAAUGAAGCCCAGAGCUCACACAGAAACUGAUAGCUGAGUUUCAUCUGCUGACGCCUAAAGAAAGUGGAGCAGGUUAUCUGUCUCUUUCCUUCGCCUGCCCACAGAUCUGCUCACUGGAAUCUCGAGGGAGGAUAGAAUGGGCCUUCUUCUAUUGGUUAAUUGGUGAGAGGCGGGGAAAUCAUCCACCUUGAAGAAAAGGGUUCAGCAGUUGAGAUUCAUGAAAGUGAAAAUGACGGACAUCUCAUCAUCACCCACUAAAAACAGUUGAGACAGAAGACACACAGAGAUGAUAGGUAGCCCAAGAGGACUGAGGUGAUUACAUGUGUAUUUUACACUGUCUUCAUUACAUUAGCUAGGCCAUCAUAAAGCUCACACACACAGAGCUCUCUGGCAGAAUGCGGUGAAAUGUCCCAGGCCAUCUUUGGUCAAGCUUCUCUAGAAAGUGACGGCUAUAUAAUAUUUGUUAAAUAUGCUUGAAUGUUGCCUACUU